UUGCUUUGGCAGCACAUAUACUAAAAUUGAAAUGGUACAGAAAUUAGCAUGGCCUCUGUGCAAAGAUGACACACAACUUCAUAAAGGGUUUCAUAUUUUA
ensembl:snRNA U6 U6 spliceosomal RNA